GGCACUAAGACUUUUAGAAGGUCAUUUAUAACAGCUAUCCUCGAAGUCCGCGUCUGUGAUUUCAUGAUCGGAGGGAACUCCCGGGUGAGAAAACUACCCCCACCAAUGCAGAUGGCACCUCUUUUGUGCUUUAUACUGAGAGAGUUGAAGGGAGCAUUGAGAAGUGAGGAAGUUUGCCUACAGCCAGGAGGUCUCAGAGGCAGGUUUUGAACCUGGGUCUUCCUGACUCGCAGGCCGGCUCUCUAUCUGGCCAUGUCAUUCAAUCAAAUAAACGUUUUUGGAGGCUCUGCCUGCGAUGGGAGCAGUGAGCAGUGAUUUUUAAAACUGUUAAGAGAGAUCCUCAUACCUCUGGGAGGCAGAGAGGUUAGGUACAGUGGAUGGACAGCUGGGCCUGGAAUGGGCAAGAUCUGAGUUCAAAUGUGACCUCCGGCACUUAGUAGCUUUGUGACCUCCGACUCUGCCUCAGUUCCCUCAGCUGUAAAAUGGGGACGGUCAUCGCGCCUCUGUUAGGGGUUAGCAUCUGUAAAGGGCUUGGUACAGUUCCUAGCACACAGCAGGUACUACAUGAGGGCUUGUUUUUCCUUCACUUUGGACCAGCCACCCGGCAGAGAGGCUGCCUUUGCUCUGCCUCCUGCUGUGUCCUCCCUACCAGGGCUCGGGCCUGGGUGUAUGCUCUGUGGGGGCUGGGAGCUCCCCGGCCUUACUCCUGGGCUGGGGUUCUGUGUUCUAAUCCCUGCUGCAGGACUCCACUGGGCAUGACCCCUGAGGUGACUUCCAGCUCAGAAUCCAAUGACCUCAGGCGGCCACAGCCCUCUUUCGAAAUGACCCGUGUGCUUUGAGAUCUUCGAAUGAGCCGUGAGCCUCAGAGGCGUGAGCUUAGACCCCCAUGGUCUUCUGACUCCAGAUGCCCUUGUACAGCUAGAGAAACUGAGGCCAAGGGGCAGGAAGAAGGGACAGGGGGUGGAGCUGAGAGCCUAAGCCAUCCCUCCAGAGCCCAGGGCCUCUUGUAGGCAGGAGUGGUCCAUCACCUCGGAGCCCAGCUAAAAAAGUCCCCUCUUUCUAGGCCCCUCUGGCCCACCCCAGCUAGGGCCAUUGUCUCCUGAGUUUUACCACGGCCUGGGGGGGGGGGGGCAGGCAGUGAGGGGAACAGUGCUUCUCCAAGACACAAAUAACUCUGGCCAGUUGCCUUGGGAACGGAGCCUCACUAACUUGAUGUCACAAAAUGGUUGCCCCAGCAACCAGCCCAGAUGACCAGGUCCGCCCUCUCCCCUCCCUCUGGGCCCAUGAAUGAGGUCACUGUCACCAUGGAGACUGUGGGGGCUGCGCGGAAGAGCUUUGGCCUGGGGGGUUGUCCCUGUGAGCCUGCCAGCCUGGGGAGGGGGGCCCAAGGGCAGGCGGCUGCGGGUGUGGUUCUGGGCAAAGCUUCCAUUUCUCCUUUGCCCUCUCUCCCCCAGGCAUCACCAGGCAUCCCAUGGGGACCAGACAGCCUGCUAGCUCUGAAGCCAGAGGGACUGGGUGCAAAUCCCACCCUGCCCCUGACAAUUCAUGGCUGUGUGAUUUGGGCAAGCCACCUUCUUGUGCCUUAGUAUCCUAAAGGAGAGGGUUUUAGGCUGCUGAGACCUACCUGAGGGAUCUGGAUCUUCAGGUGCUGGAAAUCUAGGAGGAAGCAAAAUCCAGAGAGAGGAAGGACUCAUGCCAGGUCUCGGGGCUGGAUUCCAAAUCACAUGUUCUAGCUCCGAAUCCAAACUUCCUUUUACCAGGGCCAUUCACCACCACCCCUGAAGGCCUGGCGCUCUAUCCACUGGGCCGUCUAGCUACCCGUGAAUCCUCAACAAUUAUCUGGAAUUCCGUUGAAUGAAUCUUUUGCCCCAUGGUGAGAGUGGGGGAAGGAGAGCUGUCCAGGGAAGCCAGAGCUCAUCACAAACGUAGUGGCCUUAACCCAGUCCAAGCCCCAGACUUACCCUCUGACAUUAGGUUGCUUAACUAUGCUCAGUUCUAAGGAAACUGCCUCCCCUCAUUGGCUUUCAGAAAAGGCAGAUGCCCUGGAGACAUUGGAGCCCAAGGCCCUCCUUUUGCAGAUAAUGUAGAAAGAAUUUAAGCUUCUUUGAUGGACAGAGCAGGGCACCUGUCACACCUGAAUGCCCAUCAGACAUCUUAAACUCAGGGUAGCCAAAACCAAAGCCAUUAUUGUUCUCCCUAACACCUCCCCCCACCUCGUACCUUCCCUGUUGCUUAGAGCAUUCCACCAUCUUCCCAGGCCCACUGGGCCUCUCACACUGUCUCUCACCCUGCCCCUGCCCCAUCCGACAUGGUGCCCAUUUCACCUUUGGGACAUCUCUGGGGGGACAUCUGCCCCCUUCUAUCCUCAGACAGUGCCCCCACUCUAGUGCAGGCCCCCAUCACGUCAUGCCUUGAUUACUGCAAUGGCUGCUGGGGGGGGGUCUGUCUACCUCAGAUCUCUCCCUACUCCAGUCUACCCUUCAUUCAGCCACCAAAGGGGUUUUCCUAAAGCUCAGGUGCAGCCGUGUCACUCCUGUACUCAGUAAGCCCCAGUGGUCCAUACCACCUCCAGGGUCAAAUACAAAAUCUUCUGUUUGGUAUUCAAAGGCCUUCCUCACCUAGCCCACUCCACCUUUCCGGUCUUCUCACACCCUAUUACCAGACACACACUCUGAUCCUGUAACACCAGCCUCCUGGCUGUUCCAUGAAUAAGAACUCCCAUCUCUCAGCUCUGGGCCUUCUCUCUGGCCAUCC